CCUACGGGGGGCUGCAGUGGGGAAUAUUGCACAAUGGGCGCAAGCCUGAUGCAGCGACGCCGCGUGAGCGAUGAAGGCCUUCGGGUCGUAAAGCUCUGUCCUAAGGGAAGAAUAAUGACGGUACCUUAGGAGGAAGCCCCGGCUAACUACGUGCCAGCAGCCGCGGUAAUACGGAGGGGGCGAGCGUUAUCCGGAAUCACUGGGCGUAAAGGGUGCGUAGGCGGCCCUGCAAGUCAGGAGGUAAAGCUCUCGGCUCAACCGAGGUAAGCUCUUGAAACUGUAGGGCUUGAGUGCAGGAGAGGAGGGUGGAAUUCCUAGGGUAGCGGUGAAAUGCGUAGAAAUUAGGAGGAACGCCAGUGGCGAAGGGGACUCUCUGGACUGCAACUGACGCUGAGGCAGGAAAGCGUGGGGAGCGAACAGGAUUAGAUACCCCAGUAGUC
rnacentral:rRNA from 1 species